GAUGAACGCUGGCGGCGUGCCUAAUACAUGCAAGUCGAGCGAACGGACGAGGAGCUGGCUCCUCUGACGUUAGCGGCGGACGGGUGAGUAACACGUGGAUAACCUACCUAUAAGACUGGGAUAACUUCGGGAAACCGGAGCUAAUACCGGAUAAUAUAUUGAACCGCAUGGUUCAAUAGUGAAAGACGGUUUUGCUGUCACUUAUAGAUGGAUCCGCGCCGCAUUAGCUAGUUGGUAAGGUAACGGCUUACCAAGGCGACGAUGCGUAGCCGACCUGAGAGGGUGAUCGGCCACACUGGAACUGAGACACGGUCCAGACUCCUACGGGAGGCAGCAGUAGGGAAUCUUCCACAAUGGGCGAAAGCCUGACGGAGCAACGCCGCGUGAGUGAUGAAGGUCUUCGGAUCGUAAAACUCUGUUAUUAGGGAAGAACAAAUGUGUAAGUAACUAUGCACGUCUUGACGGUACCUAAUCAGAAAGCCACGGCUAACUACGUG
rnacentral:rRNA from 1 species